rnacentral:lncRNA from 1 species
GGAGGGAGGUGCAACAGCGUGUCUGGGUGACAGUUUUCCAUCUUAGGGUUUUUUAAUAUAAAAGUGAAAGAGGGAUUUUAAAUUUAAUAGGAGUGCAGAAAGAAAAAGAUGGGUGCAGCUAGAAGUAGCCCUCCACCAACCAAAAUUUUGUAGGGGCCCAAUCAGUUGCAUUCUUUAUUAGAGCCCAAAAUCAUAAUUAAGUUAGAAGAAAAAAAAAUAGAUAACACCUAGUAUUCUCUGACUAAAGUUAAAGUUUUGUUUUGAAAAUAUAUCGAGG